rnacentral:rRNA from 1 species
UACGGGGGGGGCAAGCGUUGUUCGGAAUUACUGGGCGUAAAGGGCGCGUAGGCGGCCUUCUAAGUCAGACGUGAAAUCCCCAGGCUUAACUUGGGAACUGCGUCUGAUACUGGAAGGCUUGAGUGCGGGAGAGGGAUGUGGAAUUCCAGGUGUAGCGGUGAAAUGCGCAGAUAUCAGGAGGAACACCGGUGGCGAAGGCGGUCUCUGGGCAUUACCUGACGCUGAGGAGCGAAAGUGUGGGGAGCGAACAGG